rnacentral:rRNA from 1 species
UGAAUACGAGACGCUAAGGCGUCGAAGUAGUGUAUGUCAUACUUCCAAGAAAAGCUUGCACUGUCAUAGAUAAAAAACGCCUGUACCAUAACCGACACAGGUGGGUAGGUAGAGUAUACUAAGGGGCGCGAGAUAACUCUCUCUAAGGAACUCGGCAAAAUAACUCCGUAACUUCGGGAGAAGGAGUGCCUUAUUCGUAAGGUUGCAAUAACAAGAUCCAAGCAACUGUUUAUCAAAAACACAGGUCUCCGCUAAGUCGUAAGACGAUGUAUGGGGGCUGACGCCUGCCCAGUGCCAGAAGGUUAAAGAAGUUGGUUAGCAAUUGCGAAGCUGAUAACUGAAGCCCUGGUGAACGGCGGCCGUAACAAUAACGGUCCUAAGGUAGCGAAAUUCCUUGUCGGGUAAGUUCCGACCCGCACGAAAGGCGUAAUGAUUUGGAUACUGUCUCGGAGAGGGGCUCGGUGAAAUAGACUUGUCUGUGAAGAUGCGGACUACCUGCACCAGGACAGGAAGACCCUAUGAAGCUUUACUGUAACUUGAAAUUGAAAUUGGACUUUAUUCGCGCAGUAUAGGUGGGAGGCGUUGAUUAUAAUCUUGUGGGAUUAUUGGAGCCAUCAGUGAGAUACCACUCUUGUAAUGUUAGAUUUCUAACUUUGAAUCAUUAUCUGGUCAAAGAACAGUUUCAGGCGGGCAGUUUGACUGGGGCGGUCGCCUCCUAAACGGUAACGGAGGCGUACAAAGGUUUCCUCUGAACGGUUAGAAAUCGUAUCUAGAGUGUAAAGGCAUAAGGAAGCUUGACUGUGAGACCUACAAGUCGAGCAGGGACGAAAGUCGGUCUUAGUGAUCUGACGGUACUGAGUGGAAAGGCCGUCACUCAACAGAUAAAAGUUACUCUAAGGAUAACAGGCUGAUCUCCCCCAAGAGUUCACAUCGACGGGGAGGUUUGGCACCUCGAUGUCGGCUCAUCGCAUCCUGGGGCGGUAGUACGUCCCAAGGGUUGGGCUGUUCGCCCAUGAAAGCGGUACGCGAGCUGGGUUCAGAACGUCGUGAGACAGUUCGGUCCAUAUCCGGUGUAGGCGUUAGAAUAUUGAGAGGAGCCUUCUUUAGUACGAGAGGACCGAGAAGGACAUACCUCUGGUGUACCAGUUAUCGUGCCAACGGUAAACGCUGGGUAGCUAUGUAUGGAGUGGAUAACCGCUGAAAGCAUCUAAGUGGGAAGCCCACCUCAAGAUAAGUAUUCUCAU